rnacentral:lncRNA from 1 species
GCCAGUCACAUAAAAUUCCAUUAUAUUGACAAUAAUGUUUGAACAAAACAAAAAGACAUAAGAGGUGAAAAUGUCAAAAAUUAGUAUUCGUUUAUCCUACAAACCCCGUUUUGUUAUCACAUUAUGUGUAUUCAAAUUAGAUUAUCAAUCUUUACGUGUUUUUCACCUCGAGGGGGAUAUCAAGCAUUUCCCCAUGCUACUAAGUUACAAACCCAACAACUAAAUAGACCCAAAG